GUAAAAAUACCUCCAAAUAAGGAAGAGGAACAGGCUAUGACCUAAUGCUUGCUUGGACUAGUAUAAGCAUGCCAGGGCAAAUAUUUAGGCUAAAUUGUGGGAGCUAAGAACACAAAGUACAUUGAUUUCUUUAUUACGGCUAGCAGAUAUCUGAGAAUGUUAGCACAGGUCUUUGAAUAAAUUUUGCUUCUAAGAGAAGUUACUAUUUAUUCCUAAUUAGACAGGGAGGAAAGUCUUUUUGAAGAGGAACCUCUACUUUACUUUUUACAUGCCAUUUGCUUCCACACUUGGUUUCACUUAGCCUUUUUAUUUUUUGUUUUCUGCUCUAUUAGUAAAACUGAAAAUUCUCUAAAAAUUUAAAAUGUGCAUUACAAAUUGAAGAUCAUGUAUAGUCAACAUUACUGUUGAAGAUCUCUUAAAUUGCCCAUAAGGCACAAUAUAUUGCAUUUAUGAGCCACCUUGGAGGCUGACAUUCUGUCUCUCAGUAAGUCCAACCUAGAGGAUUUUCCUUGCAGCAUUGGAACAGAUGGCUCAUCCUUCUAUUGAGCCCCAGAGGAAGUCAUUGGCUUGCAUGUAGGACUUCUAGACUUGGACUCAGACUGCUAGAUGCCCACACUAUGAGAGGCACCUGGAAACAGACCAACUGAGAGAAUGACACGUUUGUGUCUUCUAUAUUCUGCUUACUUUGGGCAUUAAUUUGCUUAGUCAAAUGAUGCUUAUACUUCCCUCUCUCAAGCCUUCUUCAGUUCAUAUGAAUUAAAUGUGUGUACAUUCUAUUUCUAGGGUAAAAAAGUAUUAAAUGAUGAAAGACAACUAGAAUAUCCACAAUUUUUAAAAAACUCUUUAGAAAAGAAGAAAAAGAAGAGCAACCUACAGAGGUCACUUGCCCAGAUCUUAUAGCACAUCUUGCUGGAGGAAGACAAUAAAGUAGAUCAUAGGGCCAGCAAACUUAAUGUGCAUCUGUUUGUUAAUUUACUUCCUUAAGAGUGGAUUAAGUUCAGUAUGGCCGCCCCAGGAUUCUGCUAGGAGGGUUUUCCUUAUUUGUAUCCAACAGGGCCAUCCCUGAGUAUGAUGAUUAAUGUUAUGUGUCAACUUGACUAGGCUAAGGAAUACUCAAAUAGCUGGUAACACAUUAUUUCUGGGUGUGUCUGUGAGGAUGUUUCUGGAAGAGAUUAGCACUUGAAUCAGUAGAUUAAGUAGAGAUCACCCUCACCAACAUGGGUGAGUGUCAUUCAAUCCAUUGAGGACCUGGAUAGAACAAAAAGGUGAAGGAAGGGUGCAUUUGUUCUCUCUGCUUGAGGUGGGACAUCCAUCUUCUUCCACCCUCAGACAGCUGUGCUCCUGAUUCUCAGGCCUCGGGACCCAGACCAGGAUUUCCAUCAGCUCCCCUGGCUCGCAGGCCUUCUGACUUCUGACUCACCAUCAGCUCUCCUGGAUCCAGCUUGCCAAUGGCAGAUCGUGGGACUCCUUGCCCUCUAAUCGCAUGAAACAAUGCCCACAGGGCAGGUCUCACUAUGUUGCCCAUUCUGGUCUUGAACUCUUGGACUCAAGCAAUCCUCCCACCUCGGACUUCCAAAGUGCUGGAAUCACAGGCUUGAGAUACCAUGCCCAGCCAAUUUAUUGUGAUGGUGAGCUCCUUAGAGGGAAGUAUAGUACAUAUUUCCUCCAUGUCUCCAGUACCCAACACAGUGCCUGACGUUGAGAGGGCUCUUAAUAAGUGUUUGUGAAAGACUGGUAGAGCAAUGCCCUAUGAAACAAGAAGCUGGAUAACACUGCUUAGGACUCAGAGGAGAGAGGAGUGUGGUCUACACUGCACAUCUCUGCCAAGCCUGGCACGGGAUUUGAAGUUCCACACCACUGAGCCAAACACAUCCAGACCCUCUUCCAACCCGGGGAUCUGGUGGUAAGCAAAAUACUAUUCCAGCAAGUGAUGCCCCCAGUCUCCUAAGGAUAUAAGAAACAGGAAGUUGUGUUUGGCUGCGGACAAACUCUCUCAGUGCCCCUGGGACUUACAAGAUGUUUGGAAUGAGGAACGGCAGCUCUCCCAAUGCGAGCUCAGCGGAGGCCCCCAGAAAAACGUGGGGAGGAGAGUUUUCCCCAUAAGACAGACUGUCCUUCAGCCCCGGCCACCAAAGAGGAGUAACCCGGGCCUGCUGUUCUCUGGGACUGAAUGCGGCUGCAUCCUUCCCUUCCUCUGCUUCCUGUCCCGGUACUUACUGACGGUGCACAUGCGGGGCUUGGGGAAGCUGAGUGUCUAACCGCGGUGCAGCUACGGAUGGGAAAUUCUGGGCAGGGACGAGCCUGUCUUCACCUGAGGAAUUCCCUCCCACAUCACACAGGGCAGAGUGGGAGUGGAGGAGGGCAGAGGACACGUCUCAGGGCCAGUAACCUAGGCUUAUAGAAGACGUCAUCACCGUCCUCAUGAUGUUCACCCCGUCUCCUGUUUUUUGGGGCCAUGUGUUCCGAAAUGUAGCUUCAACUCAUCAUAGGGGCAAAAAGAAGUGAUGAGUCUGUGGCAGCAGAAAUCUGGGAAUCCAAGGGUCGUGCUACAUUUUUCGAGAAACCAUUUUGAAUUCCCAAACAGCAAAGGAAAUGCUGCAGGUUCCUGGAGGGACCUGGUGAUCUGGGGCAGAGCACACGGAGUCGAGAUUGCUGCGGGGUUCACGAGCCUCCCCUCCUGGGACCAGGGGCACCUGGGCAGGGUAGUCUGCACCACGCAGGAAAGCCCAGUACACGCAGCUGCUCAACGCUGCAGACGCCAUAGCGCAGGGCUGACAAGGCCUCCCUCUUUAUCUGCCCUGGACCACAAGUGGAAAAUAUCAAGACAAAGCAAAAGCCAGUAUCCCUUAAGAACUUUCCAAUUGUUCUUGUCAUUUGUAGUUUUGUUUUUUGGGGGGUGUGGGGAGGGAGGGGUGGUUUGAAACAACUCCGGAGCACACUCCAGAGGAAAACAGGAAGGGUGACAUGUUUGGACACCAGAAAAGAGGAAGAGUCCUCACUAAGAGGGUGACUUGGUUAAAAAGUUCAAGCACAAAGGAUGUAGAAGCAGGUGGAUGUCAUCAGAGAACAGAUGCGGAUCUAGUGAGAUGGGUCCUACCACCCCUGGAAUAUGUUCCUGGGAGAGGGGUGGUCUGCUAGAGUGGACUGGGAAUAGUAAUAUUGCAUACUUUUGUAAAUUCACAAAACCCUCUGAUCUGUGAUAGAGGAAUAAAGGGCAGAGGAUAAACCCCAGAUAAAGAUUCACUUAUCUUAAAAAUGAAAGGUUGGAAAUUAACUUUAUGCUACUGUACCACCUUCGAAGUAUUUCUGGCAGGUGCCUGGAGGAUUCAGAUUAAUGACCAAAUUACCUGCCAAGUCAGGGCCUCCCAUUAGAAGAGAGUACCAGUUUCCAUUAGGAGCACUAGCUGGAAAACACAAUCUUUCAGCAGAGGAAAUACAGUCUUCUCUCCUUCUCUGGGUGCACAGAGUGGUCGUGGUUGGCUGGGGCAGAUAAUGGUGUGGUCUUCCUCUGCAGAUCUGGUUUCUGAGUCCCUGGGCUGCAGCUGUUGAAUUUCCAGACACAAACAAGUAUGCGUUCUGAGAGCCUCGCCGAGCCCACACAACCGGGAGAGCCAAGCUGGAUUCCAUUCUGCUUUGCACAUCAGCAGCUCUGCUGCCAGCUGAACUCCAGGGCAAAAGCUGUGCCUGGUAAUGAUGCAGGCAGCAGGGAUGGCACAGCUGGCCUGGCUUAGGCCGUUAAGGGGGACACGCUUGGCCUUAUUUGGGGGAGAGCGAGAAAUGGAAGGCGAUGAAGAGUUGCGGAAGCAUACAUCAGCCUCCACAAAACUGGUGCACAGCAGGGAAACAAUCUGGUUUUGCUAGUCAUCAACAACAUGCCUGUGUGUGUGCCUGUUUAUGCUUAGGUAAGCCCAGCCUCCCACUCGCUGAAAAGAGUAGGCAGACAAGAAGGAGUGACCAACUCUGAGUCAGCUGUCAUCGUGUAGAGAGCAGCUAAGGGGAACAGUGGGGCUGGAAUCUCAUGGCCUUGCCUAGUGCCCCUACAGCAUCCUCUCUGCCCAUGGUGCCAGAUAUCUGAAUGGGAGGACAAAGGGGGCACAGGUGGUGAAAAAAACCAAGAUGCACAUUUGGGUAUUUUCCUUCUUUUGCUAGAAUGUCAUUUCUUGAUGUCUGUUUCUUGUCACCCAUUUGUGAUCAGGGACUAAGUAAGUUCCCUCUGCACCAGACCAGGUGGAAGACUGAGCCAGAGUUCCUCUGAGCCACAGGAGAGAUGAGGAGCUAUGGAGCGGAGUAGGGGCUGAGGAUCUGGUGCCCCCAGCUAAACUAAAAGGAGGCAGGCAGCAUGUAAGAGGAUGAUGGGGUAGCUCACAGAGAGGAAGGGGAUAUUCUUUCUCAAGAAUGAUGAGCCCAAAGGCAUCGCAUAACAAUUGUGAUCUCCCAGCUGGACGUUUCCUGUAGCACAGGUGUUCACAGUGUGGCUCCCAAACCAGCAGCCUCCAUGUCAGUCACUGGGAACUUGUUAGAAAUGCAGAUUCUCAGGCCACCCCAACCAUUAGAUCAGAAACUCUGGGGAUGGGGCCCCACAAUCUGUGUUUUCUUUUCUUUCUUUCUUUCUUUUUUUUUUUUUUUGAGACAGGGUCUCACUGUGUCAUCCAGGCUGGAGUGCAGUGGCAUGAAAAUGGCUCACUGCAGCCUCAACCUCCUGGGCUCAAGUGACCCUCCCACCUCAGCCUCCUGAGUAGCUGGGACUACAGGCCUGUACCACCAUGACCGACUGAUUUCGUUUUUUAAUUUUUUAUAGAAACAGGGUCUCGCCAUAUUGUCAUGGCUGGUCUUGAACUCCUGGG
rnacentral:lncRNA from 10 species